rnacentral:tRNA from 2 species
GGUUUGGUAGUUCAGUUGGUUAGAAUGCCGCCCUGUCACGGCGGAGGUCGCGGGUUCGAGUCCCGUCCAGACCGCUA